GGCAACUUCCCCCCACCCCAAGAUGGCAGAUUUGCUGAUCUAAUCAACUACUUCCUGAAUUUAAACAACACACAAAACCUACGUAGAGGGAUCUCUGAGAAAAUUUAAUAUUUACUGUUAUUAUUAUUAAAAAUUCAAGAUUCUUCUCCAGUCCUUGCUGAGCGAGCUUCAUGCCCAGACAACUUCUGAGACUGCAAAUAGGGAUGACUUCCUCUCCUGCAAUGGAAAUGGUCAGAAAUACCUUGUGUUCAAGCUGUAUGUACCCACUUUGAAAGGCUAAAGAUUUAAUGGCAUAUAUGUUGAGAAAAGGUGACUGGAAGAACAAAAAUGAAAGAUCAGCAAUCUUAUUCCCUGUUCACUUUUCACCACUCUCAGCUGAAGAAAGUUAUUAUCACCCAGGAGUGCUUAGGAGUGAUGUAGGAGCUGAAAAUGUUCACACUUACCCAACGAAUACACUGGCUUUUGCUUAGGACAAAACAGAGUGGGAAGCUAAUUCUUCAGCAGGACUGGGACUAUCACUGAUGACAAUUUCAUUCUUAGUUCUGGCAUGAUUAUCUUGCACGUUGUGAAAAUGGAAUUGGUUGACGUGGGUUGAAGAAGCAGUUUGUGAUAAUACUAAACAUCCUGCAAAGCCAAAGUAUUGAAUUAAUUCAUCAAAUCUUCAUCAGUUCUGCUGGAACACUUGUGGAAAAUAGUAAUAUUGGAUGUCAGGUAAAAUGUAGCUAAAUCUCUCGGUGUUUCAGAGCUCUGAAGUUCCAGAGAUUAAUGAACUCAACUCACUUUUGGAGGGUGAUAUUUUAAAGCCCAGCUGAAAUUUCCCUGACGAACAAAGAAGAAGGUUGGUUCCACACCAAGUCCCUGGUGAUAAUUCAUCUGAAACUACUGGUGCUGACUCUUCUGCCUGAAGAAGAGCCGUAUCUCUCCCAGAGGCCAGAUCUAGCUGGAAGUAGCGCGGGGCGUUGGCACUUGGCAGCCGCGCUGGUGGCGAGGUGUCGGAACAGCACGGCGCCUGCUGAUCGCGGCCAUCUGCUCCCUACAUCCAUGUGCCACUGAAGGUCGGUGUGGGGGACAGCCCAGCUUCCCAGCCCUAUGCUUCUGAGUGACAGAACUAGACUAACCUUUUCUGCGUCCCCAGAGCAUGAGCGGGUUUAUGCCGUGAAAUUGGAAGGAAUUUCUGUUCAAUUCCUCUUCUCUGGCUGUGGGGAUGUCUUGGUCUGUGCUGGAAUGUUUACAUUAAACAAGAAAAACAGUAUUUUGAGAAUGCAUUGAGGAUUGAAAUCCUCUGUACUGAUAAAUUCAUCUUUAGAACUUUGUUAUGAGAAAUGAGAAGUUCCUAAUAUAAGCAGCAUAUCAUAUGGCCUUUUUUCUUCUGAGCAGGGUUAUUUUGAUUUCUUUUACUAUUAGUUUUGUUUUCCAUUCAGCCUCCACAUGUAUCUUUAUGAUUAACAGUGCUGAGUGCUGUGAUGAAGAAUGAUUUUUAAAUGCCUAUACCUUGAAGAACAAAAUCAUGUCUUUUUCAAUGAAGGACUUUUGAAAGAGAAGAAAUGAAAGAAAACACAGCUUAGACUUUGCAAGACUUACAGAGCAAUGAUAGCCCCAUGGCAUAUUGAAUGGUCAUCAGAAUUGUUCCCACAACAUUAGCACUGGAUUAAAAUUAAUUUCUGAGAGAUUCAUCAAUUUAACAAGUCAGAUCAAUUUAGUAGAACAACUGUUUUAUGGCUUCCAGUAUCCUUAUAGGAACUUUCUACUUUAACUUAUUGCUGCAUCAUUUGAUAAAUGGAAAGGAUUCAUUCUUCGAUAAGAUCUUUUCCAUUAUCAAAAAUAUUCAUUAACAGUAAUUUUCAUAGCAAGUGAAUUCCAAAAACUCAAUUUCUGAGAAAUUAAUUUUAAAAUUCGUGUGACUAUUUGCUGCUGAUACUCUUGGUGGCAUCAGUCCCGGAGGAGAUCAGGAAAAUAAAAUAUAGCAUUGACUUACA
ensembl:lncRNA